UACGUAGGGGGCGAGCGUUGUCCGGAGUUACUGGGCGUAAAGCGCACGCAGGCGGUCUUUUAAGUUUGGAGUGACAGUUGGUGGCUUAACUGCCAAAGUGCUUCGAAAACUGAGAGACUUGAGGGCUUCAGAGGGACACGGAAUUCCGGGUGGAGUGGUGAAAUGCGUAGAUAUCCGGAGGAACACCAAAGGCGAAGGCAGUGUCCUGGGGAGUACCUGACGCUCAGGUGCGAAAGCCAGGGGAGCGAACGGG
rnacentral:rRNA from 1 species